AGACAGCUAGGAGGUUGGCUUAGAAGCAGCCACCCUUUAAAGAAAGCGUAAUAGCUCACUAGUCGAGUCGGCCUGCGCGGAAGAUGUAACGGGGCUCAAACCACACACCGAAGCUGCGGGUGUCACGCAAGUGACGCGGUAGAGGAGCGUUCUGUAAGCCUGUGAAGGUGAGUUGAGAAGCUUGCUGGAGGUAUCAGAAGUGCGAAUGCUGACAUGAGUAACGACAAUGGGUGUGAAAAACACCCACGCCGAAAG
rnacentral:rRNA from 1 species